GAUGAACGCUGGCGGCGUGCCUAAUACAUGCAAGUCGAGCGAACAGACGAGGAGCUUGCUCCUCUGACGUUAGCGGCGGACGGGUGAGUACCACGUGGAUAACCUACCUAUAAGACUGGGAUAACUUCGGGAAACCGGAGCUAAUACCGGAUAAUAUAUUUAACCGCAUGGUUCAAUAGUGAAAGACGGUUUUGCUGUCACUUAUAGAUGGAUCCGCGCCGCAUUAGCUAGUUGGUAAGGUAACGGCUUACCAAGGCAACGAUGCGUAGCCGACCUGAGAGGGUGAUCGGCCACACUGGAACUGAGACACGGUCCAGACUCCUACGGGAGGCAGCAGUAGGGAAUCUUCCGCAAAGGGCGAAAGCCUGACGGAGCAACGCCGCGUGAGUGAUGAAGGUCUUCGGAUCGUAAAACUCUGUUAUUAGGGAAGAACAAAUGUGUAAGUAACUAUGCACGUCUUGACGGUACCUAAUCAGAAAGCCACGGCUAACUACGUG
rnacentral:rRNA from 1 species